rnacentral:rRNA from 1 species
UUUGCCUACGGGGCGCAGCAGUAGGGAAUAUUGGGCAAUGGGCGCAAGCCUGACCCAGCAACGCCGCGUGAAGGAAGAAGGCUUUCGGGUUGUAAACUUCUUUUAAGAGGGAAGAGCAGAAGACGGUACCUCUUGAAUAAGCCACGGCUAACUACGUGCCAGCAGCCGCGGUAAUACGUAGGUGGCAAGCGUUGUCCGGAUUUACUGGGUGUAAAGGGCGUGCAGCCGGGAAGACAAGUCAGAUGUGAAAUCCUGCGGCUUAACCGCAGAACUGCAUUUGAAACUGUUGAUCUUGAGUACUGGAG